UACGAAGGGUGCAAGCGUUACCCGGAAUUACUGGGCGUAAAGCGUGCGUAGGCGGUUUGUUAAGUCCGUUGUGAAAGCCCUGGGCUCAACCUGGGAAUUGCAGUGGAUACUGGCGAGCUAGAGUGCGGUAGAGGAUGGUGGAAUUCCCGGUGUAGCGGUGAAAUGCGUAGAGAUCCGGAAGAACACCGGUGGCGAAGGCGGCCUGCUGGGCAGUUGCUGACACUGAGGCGCGACAGCGUGGGGAGCAAACAGG
rnacentral:rRNA from 1 species